rnacentral:rRNA from 1 species
GAUGAACGCUGGCGGCGUGCCUAAUACAUGCAAGUCGAGCGAACAGACGAGGAGCUUGCUCCUCUGACGUUAGCGGCGGACGGGUGAGUAACACGUGGAUAACCUACCUAUAAGACUGGGAUAACUUCGGGAAACCGGAGCUAAUACCGGAUAAUAUAUUGAACCGCAUGGUUCAAUAGUGAAAGACGGUUUUGCUGUCACUUAUAGAUGGUUCCGCGCCGCAUUAGCUAGUUGGUAAGGUAACGGCUUACCAAGGCAACGAUGCGUAGCCGACCUGAGAGGGUGAUCGGCCACACUGGAACUGAGACACGGUCCAGACUCCUACGGGAGGCAGCAGUCGGGAAUCUUCCGCAAUGGGCGAAAGCUUGACGGAGCAACGCCGCGUGAGUGAUGAAGGUCUUCGGAUCGUAAAACUCUGUUAUUAGGGAAGAACAAAUGUGUAAGUAACUAUGCACGUCUUGACGGUACCUAAUCAGAAAGCCACGGCUAACUACGUG